rnacentral:rRNA from 1 species
GACGAACCGUGCGAACGUUAUUCGGAAUCACCGGGCUUAAAGCGCGUGUAGGCGGAUGGGGACGUCGGUCGCUGAAAUCCCUCGGCUCAACCGAGGAACUGCGCCCAAAACUGUCGUGCUCGAGGGAGACAGAGGUGAGCGGAACUUAGGGUGGAGCGGUGAAAUGCGUUGAUAUCCUAAGGAACACCGGUGGCGAAAGCGGCUCACUGGGUCUCUGCUGACGCUGAGGCACGAAAGCUAGGGUAGCGAACGGG